rnacentral:lncRNA from 1 species
GGGACACACUGGGGAGUAAAACCAGACAUGAUCCCAUGCAGUUGAGAGCUCCUGGCCUUGGUAACUCCAUUGGCUGGCUUCUGCACCGUGCUGCAGGAUGGAAAAUGGAUUGGAGGAGAGUGAGAGUGAAUUAUGGAAUGGAAUACCUGUGGAACUUCAAAAAAUACAGCUGCCUGAGCCAUACUACAAACCUAUUCAAUAAAGCAGUAUAGUCAAUAAAAUAAACACUGAAAGAUUCUUAAUAGCAUUAAGUGUACUGAAG